GUAGGGAAUAUUGGGCAAUGGAGGCAACUCUGACCCAGCCAUGCCGCGUGCAGGAUGACGGCCCUCUGGGUUGUAAACUGCUUUUAUACGGGAAGAAAAAAUACUACGUGUAGUAUACUGACGGUACCGUAAGAAUAAGGAUCGGCUAACUCCGUGCCAGCAGCCGCGGUAAUACGGAGGAUCCAAGCGUUGUCCGGAUUUAUUGGGUUUAAAGGGUGCGUAGGCGGAUCUUUAAGUCAGUGGUGAAAUCCUGCAGCUUAACUGUAGAAUUGCCAUUGAAACUGAAGAUCUUGAAUGUGGUUAAAGUAGGCGGAAUGUAUCAUGUAGCGGUGAAAUGCUUAGAUAUGAUACAGAACACCGAUAGCGAAGGCAGCUUGCUGAACCAUUAUUGACGCUGAGGCACGAAAGCGUGGGGAGCGAACAGGAUUAGAUACCCCUGUAGUCC
rnacentral:rRNA from 1 species